CCCUCUAGAACGGAUCGAUCGCAGAAAAAUUACAAAAAAAAAAUGUGGAUCGCUUUGCUGGGAACUCCACUCUUAAUAGCAGUCCUUUGGCUUCUGCUAAAAGAAAUUAAUAAAUCAUAUUUUAUACUUUCAUUAACUAAACGUGUGCGAACUGUGGAUGGCAGUCCCUUGGAGACCAAAGUGGCUGUAAUGCCAGGAAAAACAAGAUUUGGAAAUAAUUUGGAUAUUCUUAACUUUACGCCAUCUAGUGUUUUCAACUUUGUACGAGAAUCCACUGCCAAGGCCAAAGGUCGGAACUAUCUCUGGUACUUUCUCUUCGCACCCAUGUAUAAUGUGGUCCGUGCGGAGGAGGCUGAGGAGAUAUUCCAAAGCCCCAAGCUGAUAACUAAGAAUGUGGUCUACGAACUGAUAAGACCGUUUCUAGGAGACGGCCUUCUAACUAGCACGGGUGUGUCAUUGAUAGUGAGUUUUUUUUUUAUUUUCACUAAUUAGUUGAUAACUUUUAGACCAUAAAUGGCACUCUAGAAGGAAAGCUUUGACGCCGGCCUUUCAUUUCAAUGUUCUGCAGUCUUUCUUGGCUAUUUUUAAAGAAGAGUGCAACAAGUUCAUAACUGUUCUUGACAAGAAUGUAGAUGC